UGGGGAAUUUUGGACAAUGGGGGAAACCCUGAUCCAGCCAUCCCGCGUGUGCGAUGAAGGCCUUAGGGUUGUAAAGCACUUUUGGCAGGAAAGAAACGUCAUGGGUUAAUACCCCGUGAAACUGACGGUACCUGCAGAAUAAGCACCGGCUAACUACGUGCCAGCAGCCGCGGUAAUACGUAGGGUGCAAGCGUUAAUCGGAAUUACUGGGCGUAAAGCGUGCGCAGGCGGUUCGGAAAGAAAGAUGUGAAAUCCCAGAGCUCAACUUUGGAACUGCAUUUUUAACUACCGGGCUAGAGUGUGUCAGAGGGAGGUGGAAUUCCGCGUGUAGCAGUGAAAUGCGUAGAUAUGCGGAGGAACACCGAUGGCGAAGGCAGCCUCCUGGGAUAACACUGACGCUCAUGCACGAAAGCGUGGGGAGCAAACAGG
rnacentral:rRNA from 1 species